UACGAAGGGGGCUAGCGUUGUUCGGAAUCACUGGGCGUAAAGGGCGCGUAGGCGGCCGAUCAAGUCGGGGGUGAAAGCCUGUGGCUCAACCACAGAAUUGCCUUCGAUACUGUUUGGCUUGAGACCGGAAGAGGUUAGUGGAACUGCGAGUGUAGAGGUGAAAUUCGAUAGAUAUUCGCGAAGAACACCAGUGGCGAAGGCGGCUGACUGGUCCGGUUCUGAACGCUGAUGGCGCGAAAAGCGUGGGGAGCAAACGGG
rnacentral:rRNA from 1 species